rnacentral:rRNA from 1 species
GAUGAACGCUGGCGGCGUGCCUAAUACAUGCAAGUCGAGCGAACAGAUGAGGAGCUUGCUCCUCUGACGUUAGCGGCGGACGGGUGAGUAACACGUGGAUAACCUACCUAUAAGACUGGGAUAACUUCGGGAAACCGGAGCUAAUACCGGAUAAUAUAUUGAACCGCAUGGUUCAAUAGUGAAAGACGGUUUUGCUGUCACUUAUAGAUGGAUCCGCGCCGCAUUAGCUAGUUGGUAAGGUAACGGCUUACCAAGGCAACGAAGCGUAGCCGACCUGAGAGGGUGAUCGGCCCCACUAGAACUGAGACACCGUCCAGACUACGACGGGAGGCAGCAGUAGGGAAUCUUCCGCAAUGGGCGAAAGCCUGACGGAGCAACGCCGCGUGAGUGAUGAAGGUCUUCGGAUCGGAAAACUCUGUUAUUAGGGAAGAACAAAUGUGUAAGUAACUAUGCACGUCUUGACGGUACCUAAUCAGAAAGCCACGGCUAACUACGUG